rnacentral:ncRNA from 1 species
AGAAAAUCGGGAGAGAACACCCAUCGCCGGAUGGUGGUGGAUAGGUCGCCGAAGGGGCUGCAGAAACUCUCAGGCAAAGGGACCGGUUUU